rnacentral:rRNA from 1 species
UACGUAGGUGACGAGCGUUAUCCGGAAUUAUUGGGCGUAAAGCGCACGCAGGCGGUGCUUCAAGUCUGACGUGAAAUCUCUCAGCUUAACUGGGAGCGGUCGUUGGAAACUGAGGCGCUUGAGGCAAGGAGAGGGGUGUGGAAUUCCCGGUGUAGUGGUGGAAUGCGUAGAGAUCGGGAGGAACAUCAGUGGCGCAAGCGGCACCCUGGCCUUGGCCUGACGCUCAGGUGCGAAAGCGUGGGGAGCGAACGGG